CAUGAAGAUUGGAAGAUGGUGAGAAAGAAAUGGAAAUGUAGAAAAAGGAAAACAUUGGAAUAACGUACCAUGAAGAUUGGAAGAUGGUGAGAAAGAAAUGGAAAUGUAGAAAAAGGAAAACAUUGGAAUAACGUACCAUGAAGAUUGGAAGAUGGUGAGAAAGAAAUGGAAAUGUAGAAAAAGGAAAACAUUGGAAUAACGUACCAUGAAGAUUGGAAGAUGGUGAGAAAGAAAUGGAAAUGUAGAAAAAGGAAAACAUUGGAAUAACGUACCAUGAAGAUUGGAAGAUGGUGUGAAAGAAAUGGAAAUGUAGAAAAAGGAAAACAUUGGAAUAACG